UGAGAAGGGAUUUACAGCAUUGGGACAGUGCUCUACAACUGGCAAAGCAUUUGGCCCCAGACCAGAUACCUUUUAUAUCAAAAGAAUAUGCUAUUCAGCUUGAAUUCGCUUUGCCACAUUUCUGUUCCUUAUAAAUGCCUAUACCAAAAAGUGAUGUUGGAAUCUUAGUACAUAACACAAGAGGCAGAGCCCCAUUGCCCUGGCCCUCCACCUGCAUCCUGAGGAUGACUGAGUCUUAGAAUAUAAAACUUCUGUGCUAAGAAGGAAAGAUGAUCCACCAAGUCCUGUCAGAGUACAGACACCCCAGUAAGCCCUCGGACCAUCCAGAACUCUUCGAUUUUCACUUCCUUCAGGAAAAUUGAAGUUUUGUAACAAAUUCUCAAACUUGUCUCAUUAUGGUCAGAUGAAUUGAGUUCAAUUGAAA
rnacentral:sRNA from 1 species